rnacentral:tRNA from 1 species
GCCCAGGUGGCGAAAUUGGUAGACGCGCUAGGUUCAGGUCCUAGUGGUGGCAACACUGUGGGGGUUCGAGUCCCUUCCUGGGCA